rnacentral:lncRNA from 1 species
AGGAGUGUCUCUAAGGUAUCUCAAAACAUGCAGGGCAGCAGUCAUAUGUGGAAGUCUGGGGGAUUUUAGGAAUUGACUCAGAUGUUGAACAGCAAAGCAUAUGUCAGGCCUAGUAUGAGUCAGAACAUAUGUGGAAGUCUGGGGCAUUUUAGGAAUUGACUCAGAUGUUGAACAGCAAAGCAUAAGUCAGAAACAACAUCUUACCAACAAGACUCCUGUACCGGUCAGGAGAGGAUAAAAGGUCACCAGAAUCAGCAUGAAGUUUGACAUUAAUGUCCAAAGGAGAAACAACAGAGGAGACAUGUGCACAAUCAAACUGAUGCAGUAAAUCAGAGAUAUACUUAUGCUGAUUAAGGAUCAUACCACCAGGAACAACUGACAUUUCAAGGCCCAGAAAAUAAUGCAAAGAUCCUAGGUCUUUGAUUUUACACUAAUCAUCCAGAAAUAGUUUCAGGGAAGUAAUCUCAUCACUGUCAUCCCCAGUAAGGAUAAUAUCAUCUACAUAGACUGCCACAACCACAAGGGACCCAUGUUUACCUUUGAUGAACAAAGAAUAGCCAUUCAAAGAAUGUUUGUACCCUCUGGAAUAAAGAGCAGAAGACAAUUUGGCAUACCAUUGUCUGGAUGCUUGUCUCAGCCCAUAUAGAGAUUUCUUGAGCUUACAAACCAGAGGAGAAGAAGU